GUUAAGGCAGUUCUGACUUUUAUCAUAUGGGCUGUAGACUUGUAUCCUGAAUUUCUUCAACAUUGUGAAUGAGAGUCCCCUGAGUUGUCACAUUAGAGAAUUUUGUUAAUUAUUUUUAGACUUUGAUUAACUUAUCUCUUUGAAAAGUUCCUUAGCUCUUGAAACCACUUAGCUCGGUUAUUCCCAAUUACUCCUAUUACCAACUUGCUCCAGAACUUAAUUCCUCGGAAGGCUACAAAUCUUCUAAUUACAGCCUAAACGUAUUUCAUUAUACACACUUAUUCUUGUGUCACCAUUGACCUUCAGUAUAAACAGGUUUCAUCUGACCCUGAGGUAUUUGUAGGCAAUUUUUAAGCUGUGUUGAACGAGGGCAUGGAAGAAUGAUAUUCUGCAAAUCCUUUUCAAUAACCUGUUAUUGCAGGGGGAUUUGAUGGCUUGUGGUCCUUCACGCUUGUAUUGUGGGCAGUGAUUUCACCUGUAAAUGCCUUCAUUGAGUUGAUGAAUUCAUUAAACCUGGUAGUUUCAUAUGCCUUUCCUACAGUUCCAGGAAAAGAAAUACCAUUGUAUAAUAUUACAGAACGGUUCAGGUUGGAAGGGACCUCAGGAAGUGUAUCUCUAGGUUGACUUCCUACUCAAAACAAGGUCAGCUGUGAGAUCAAAUGAGAUUGCUUAGGGCUUUAAUCAGUCAGGUCUUGAAAACACCCAGGGAUGCAGAAGCAUAGUCUGUGCAACCUGCUCCAAUGUUUCUGUCCUCUUGUGGGUGUGGGGAGGCUGCUGCUUGGUCCCUCUGAAGCUGUAUCUUCUUCAGGCUGAAUGCUGACUUCAUUCUAGUUUGUUGAUGUCUUCAUUAUAUUGGGAAAAUGAAAAAUUUGUGGUAUACUAAAUGUGAUCUAACAAGUAAAGGGGGCUGGUCUAGCCUGUGGUACUGUUAGAGCAUACUGCUGGCUUGUGUUCAGCUCACAGUUUGCUAAAACCCUCUGAUCUUCUCCCACCGAACUGCUCCUCGGCCAGUCAGUUCCCAGCCUGUAUCACUGCAAGGGUUUUUUCCCUUCUAAAGUGCUGGACUUCACAUUUGUCCUUGUUGAACUUCAUGAGAUUCCUGUCAGCACAUUCCUCUAGCCUGUCUAGAUCCAUCAGAAUGGUAACCCUGCCAUUAAGCAUACCAAUUUAUUUCUCCUCCAGUUUGAUGUCAUCUGUGACCUUUGUGAAUAAGUACUACAUUGCCUCCUUCAGGAAACUGAUAAAGAUUUUAAGCAGGACAUACCCGCAAGUAGAACCCUUUGGCACUUCAGUUGUUAUUGGCCUGCUGUCAGAAUAUGCCCUAUUAACCACAACCCUCCAAAUCUGACCUUCCCAUGAGGUUAUUACUUAUUUGAUUAUUCAUCCAUCCGGAAGGUAAUGUUCUAAUUUGGAUACAGAAAGAUGUCAGGAGAGAAUGUCAAUAUGCUUGCUGAAGUCAAGGUAAAUGAGAUCUUUUGCUCUUCCUUCCUAUACACAUCCAUGCAUUUACUCAUGGAAGACAAACUGUUUGGUCAGGCAUGGCUUGCCUUUCUUCAGUUCAUAGUGAUUGCCUCCAUUCAGCACCUUCUCUGUGCACUCAGAAAUGUGUUCCAGGAACCUUUGCUCCAUGACUUCCCUGGAGUCUGAAGUGAGACUAACCAUAUUUUUGACACCUUUUUAAAAUGUGUUCAAUUUUUGCCUUUUUUUUUUCCUCUCCAGUCAUUGAGGAUCUCUGCCAGUCUCUAUAAACUCAAAAAAUGUUAGGCAGCCUUACAAGGGCCUUGCAAUCAUUUCUUGGCAUCCUAGGGGACAGCGUUUUUGGUUCCAUAGAACUCUCUAAGUGUCUCGUUCCUUCAAGCAAUUCCUGACUCAGUCUUUACCCACUGUUGCUGAUUUGUUUUCUGUUUAGACUCUUUUUCUAAGCACAGAAGCUUCAGAGAUGUUUCUGAUGAAGACAGGAUCAGAAAUCAUUAAGUAUCUCAGACUUAUCUGUGUCUCUAGUUAUUAAAUUUUCUAUCCCAUUCAGCAGUGGUCACAAAUUUUCCUUGUUAAGUGCUUCUAGUGUUAAUGCAUUUGUGACCUUUUCGGUUGGGUUUUUUGUUGUUGUUGUUUUUUACUUAAUCUUACAACCUCUAAUUAACAUGAAGUAUAUAUUUAGAAAGACACUCUAAAUUGGUGUCCUUUUCUAUUCAGGUUUUAAAGGAAGACAAAACUAGAGAUGUAGUAAAUGUUUCAGUGUGGAAAAGAUGAAUUCUGCUCUGUCUUUUGCAUAUUCCUGUUCUAUAACUAGUGAAAUAGAGACAUGAUCUUAAAGUUUUUCUGUACAAUUUAACUUGUGAGCAGAUGUUCAGAAAGACUUCAGAAAAUAUAAUUAUUAAGACAAGUUAAAUCUUAGAUUUUCUUUCUUCCAUCAAAAUCUUCAAAAAAAGAUUUUAUUUGUGCCUAUUCUAUAAAAAGAAAAAGAGGAAAGAGAAUUAAGGGUUUAGCUUGAAUUAGCUGGAAACUUGACUUUCACAAAUAAAUCCAGCCUUGGUCUAGUUUAAAGAAAGGAUCAAGUCCUACAUGGUUGUGAGAAAUCAGGAAACAGAAAUGUGUAAACAACUGCAUAAAAGUUUUAAAGAAAAAAAAAUAACAUUUCUGCAAAAUUGGCAUAGUUAUAGUGAAAUGUUAAGUGAAAAUCCUAAAUUGCUUCAUCUUUUGUUUUUUGUAGUGAUAUGUGUAUCCUAGAGGUUUUUUUGAAUGUCUCCAAAAACACAAUUCAGUUCUUCUAAAGUAGUGGUGAUGAGUUCUAAUUGCUUUUAAAUUACUUAUUUAGCCCAAGAAAGUUGGGGCUCACCAACAUAUGGAACAGAAAUAAAAUGUUAACCACAUGUCUGAGAUGCUGGACGACUACCUGGGAGAAAUGAAAAACUGCAGAGCUCAACUAAUAGCGAUUGUCAACAGAGGCAGCGGUUUCCAGGCUCUGUUUUUUUUUGUUGUUGUUGUUGUUUGCUUGUUUGUUUGCUUGCUUGCUUUUGACAUCUUUGAUUUUUCUUGAGGUUUUGGGGUCUGCGACUUCCUGGGAAUCCUCCAAGGAUCAGGAAGGUGGCAGCUGCUGCUAGAUGGUCAGCUGCCUUCCAGAGGAACCUAAACAGGAUGGGUUGACAGGAACCUCAUGAAGUCCAACAAGGAGAAAUUCAAAGACCUGCUCCUGGAGAGGAAUAGCUCCAGGUACCAAUAUGCACUGGGAGCAAUCCAGCUGGAAAGCAACUCUGCAGAAAAGGCACUGAAUGUCCUCUUGGACACCAAGUUGAAUGUGGGCCAGCCACGUGUGCUUGCUGCAAAGGAGGAUAACAGCAUUCUUGGCUGCAUUAGGCAGUGUUGCCUGAUAAUGCCAUGCUGGGUCCAUUUUUAUGCUCUGGAGUACAAGAAAGACAUAGACACACUAGAGACUGUCUCAUUGACUGGCCACAGAAAUGAUUAGAUUACUGGAGCACCUAGAAUCAUAGUGUCAUAGAAUCGCUAAGGUUGGAAAAGACCCACAGAAUCAUCCAGUCCAACCAUUCGCCUAUCACCAAUGGUUCUCAUUAUACUAUGUCCCUCAACACAGCAUGCAAACGUUCCUUGAACACCUCCAGGGUCGGUGACUCCACCACCUCUCUGGGCAGCUCUCUGUGAGGGGAGACUGAGAGCUGUGUCCAUUCAGACUAGAGAAGACUCAGAGUGAAUCUCAAAACCUUCCUAAGCGGAGGCUUGGGCAAGCAGCUCUGAGUAUCCCUGUCUGAGCCAGAGGAGUUGGACCAGAUGGACCCAGAGGUCCCAGCCAAGCACAACCACUCUGUGAUAGGGAAAGUGAAAAAGAGAGAGUUCUGACUUGUUCUGGACCUGUCACUUUUAGGUUUCAAACAACUAUACAUAAUGAAACAUACACAAUAGAAAUUCUUUCCCUAUGAGGUUAUCUAAUGGAUAUCAUCUUCUAAUUUAGAAUCUUCUAGUGAAGAUGUCUCCAUUUUUGCAAAUUAAAAAUAGCUGAGACAGGCAGCUUAAUAGGAGGUCUAGCAAAAGUGAAGCUAAUGAUAGAAGUAGGCUUCUUGUUCUUCUGUUAAGGCAUAGCAUAUUAGUGCUCAGAAUUAGAACCAUCAUCUCCUUAAUUACCAUCACUCAAGGAACAUUGGUAGGACAAUGCUUAGUAUGUAAUAAUAAGAGGUCUCUGCUUUGUGUUAAACUGAAGAGCAGGGGUUAAACCUUUCUUUUUCAGUAAGAGGGAUUUGCAGUGAGACUGUAUGGCAGAGAGUACCUGGCUCUACAUCAUACCGUGUAAUAUUUCUUACUGUAACUAUUUGGUGUAAUAUUUCUUGUUUUCUUUUUUCCUAUUAAAAUAUUAGGAAAAUCCAAAAAUAGGCUAUAGAAAGUAUUUUAAAGAAAGCAAAAAUAUGGAUAUAAUUGAGUUAGAAUGCAACUUUGAUCAUACCUCCCCUAAACUUAGCUGACCUGAUGCUCUUACUGUGAAUUUUCUCUGAUAUUUUCCACAUAUGAAGGAUGAUUGUCACUCAAGAGAAUGUAACUGUGCUAGCUGAUAUUGGUGUUUCCUGUCAACCUGCUGACAUACCUUGACAAUGUGUCUCUCUGACUGGUUGUCAAACCCCAGUGUGAGCAUAAAGGCAGGUGAAGAGUAGAGUAUACAUGACACUAGCUCAGAUAGUAGUAACCAAACCUGGGGAAGAAAAGUUUGCUUAUUAUGCUAUUACCUGUCUGAAUCUUUAAAAUGCUGUUUAGAGUACAUUAAAGUAGGAUAGGGAAGCCAUCUGCUGACAGUGGUACGAUAUGUGAUACAGUAGGACCCAAAAACAAAGCAGUCCAAUGCUCUCAGCAAAAUCUCUGCGUUAGCUGCAUGUAUUUCCAGUGUAGAAUAGAAAUGAAUGUCCUGGGCAACAUCAGGAGCAGAGCCUGCCUUAGGCACAAGUUUAACAAAGUCUGAUGAGCAUUGACUUGGCAACAGAGAAGCUGGACUGAUGUCUCUAUUCCUGGCAGCAGGACCUGAGGAACAGGCAGCUCCUAGCAUGCUCUCCAAACUGCCUCCAGAGAAACUUGGAACUGUACAAAUCAUAAAGCCAGGCAUUCCCUGAAGUGCCCAUUUAAUGAAAAAUAAAUGUUCUUUUCCUCCAGGACUUGUUCUCAAUGAGCAUGCUUUAGUGCUAGUUGUUACUUGCAGGAACAGUACCAUAUAUCUGUUUAUCUCAUAAAACUUGAAAUAGACUGUGCUGGUCACAGAGUAAUCUGAAAGUCUGGAAUAUCUUAUUUUCUAUUAGAUGCCAAUGUCAGUUUAAGUGCAUUACUUCUCUAUUUUCCUUUGGACUGCACAAUCACAGCAUCACCUGAGGACUUAUGCAAGACUAAAUUUUAAAAGUCUAUAUUUAUUAGGAUUUUUUUUUUGUCUUGUUCCUCCAGAUGCUUUGUCGAAUGCACUGAAUAUGAAAGUUGUUAGCAUAUUUGAAACUUUCCUUUGUAUGUGAAUUUAAACAAUGAGUUCAUUUAUUAUGAGCUAUGUUAUGCUGUAAGAUAAAUAACCCAAAAUGCAAUAUAAAGUCAACAUCUAUAUGUGAUUAAUUGAAGGAGUUAUGGAGGAGAAAACUCAGCUGUGCUUGACAAAUUCAAAAAGUAUUCUCCAUUUAUCUAAUGCUGAGUAAUACAUAAUGAAUAAGAUCAAAUUAUAAUGCCACGGUUCAUUGGGAGCGGUUGAUGAAGAUUGCUAUUCAUUCGCCUAAGGCCCAUCAGUUAAUAUUUACAUUGUUGGAGAAAUGCAUGACUUAAAGCCUAGCUGUGCUUCCCUUUUCAAAGAAGACGUAGAGCAUAGUUAUAGAUAUCUUAGCACAGGUACCUGGCCUUAGAAUAUGCAGAAACAUGUUACCUGCAUAAUAACUAGAUCACUUAAGGAUACACUUUUGCCUUCUUUAGCUAAUUAUAUUGGUAGAAAGACUCCUGUUGCAAAGAUUGAUGAUUAUUUGAAGAUGAUUAUACCUACUGUAGGCUUUCCUUUUCCCUAAUGGAAACAGAUUAGUGUAAACACUGUGACUGCAUGAGUACAGUCAAAGCUGAAUUAUUUUUAUGUCCUUGGGCCACGUGUCCAUGUGCACUGUCAAAUGAGCAAUGGAAAGACCUGCUCUUGAGGGCAUGUUGGACAGUAUUAGAAAUAGGCUGACUCAUCAGCUACAGGAGGUGUUAGAAAUUAUCCUGCCCUGAGAAUGCGGGCAUGACUACCUCUGCCCCGUGGAAAAAUAGGUGCCCAUGCUGCUCUACAUUCUUCAUUACUCUAGCGACACAAAAAUUAAUGUAGUAUUUUUGCAGUGAAAAGCACUUCACUCCUUAUUUGUUUGGCUAUGGGAUAACAACAGAACAGAAGAAUAGCAAACCUAUCUGUCUUGUUCCAUCCACACUGUGUUUCCUCACGUGGAUUGUACUAACCUAGUAUGACGCUGUUUUAAAACUUCUGUAUGGGCAAGCGAUCCUGUUGUCAAUAGUUUGCUGAGCUCAAGUCUUUUACUUUCUAACUCUAAUGAUUUUCCAUUGCAAUUUGGCCAUAAAUUGGCAUUAAAAAGGAAUGAAUGUUGGCAGUAUUUCACUCACUGUCUGGCUGAAAAAUUACUUUUACUGUAGCAAUUAAUGGUACAUCUAGAGCUAUGAGACCAGAAAUGUUCAUCCCUCUGCGCUCUCUCAGUGUAUGAUUUGUUACCCAGCUUCUGUACAUCACCUUUGCAUACUUUCUGCAUUUUUCUCAGUCAUUUACAGUUAUCCAGAUUUACAUUAAUGGAUUUAAAUGUUCUUUUGAAACCAUGCAGAAUUGGAGUUGAGGAUUAAUUUUUGCACUUGAAAAAUAUUUUAGGGUUCUACAAAGCAGCACAAAAUAUUGACUACCUGGAACACUGUGCCAAGACAUUAAAGAUAUUUUCUUUAAUGCUAGGUAACUGUUACUGUAUGUAAAUAAGAAGGGUAUAUUGUAUGAUAUAAUAAAUAAUAAAAAUGAAUGUUACACUUGCACAUAGGCGUCCAUAUGAAAACCAGUUUUAAAAUUCUACAAACAUAUUGUUGAAAUCAAAAUUUCUGACAUAAGAAUAAAAGUUGUUUCAGAAAUAAUGUUUGUCAUAGUAAUUGUAUUCAGUUAUAAUGUUAUUUUUACUCUAUUUUGAUUCUCAUCUUUUGAAUUCUCUCUUACAGCGGCUAUGAGAAUCCCAAUAGUAUAUAUCAUUCUUACCUUUCUCUAUAUAAUAAGAAUUAUUUGCAUGCUGAUAUUCUUAAAUUUCAGGCUAAAAUCAGUUGAAUGCAGUAGGGUAUGCUGAAACAGUAAUGAUAAAUUCUCUUAUUCCUGUAGUAAAAUAGAGUUUGAUUGUGGAAACAAAAUCUAAGUGGCUUUUGCACUGCUUAGCUGGUCAGCUUGAAUGACAGGAGUGCUGGACUGUGUAUGCUGAACUAGGUUAGCUCAAAGUUCACACUUCUGUGAUGCAGCAGCAAGUGAAUAACUUCAUUUUCCCUAAAUAAAUCCUAUAUUGUGCUUGUCUCAACAUCCAUGCCUUUUCCGCUCUUUAAAAUUUAUGUUCUAAUGAAACACCUGAAGCUUCUUAUUUGUGCUGUGCUCAAAGCAUUGUGGAAGGGAAUGUUGACAAAUAGGAUGAACAAAUUUAAGAAAUACCAAAAUAUUUUACCUCUAUUUUUUUUUUCUAAAAAAAUCCCAAUAUUUAAAAUGACCACUAAUAAUAGGGGAAGCACUUCAACAAUUUCUUUUUAAACAUUUAAUUAAGGAGAGCUUAAACUAAAUGUUUAAGCAGAAUUUCAUAUUUUUUUCCCCAGAGAUACAUGGGAAAUUGAACAAACAUUCAUCUGCAUUCUUGAUAACCACUCUCUGCCGGUACCUUUCAAAAAGCUAGAAUAAACAAAAAGGAAUGAAAAUACUGAAUAUAUAUGUUUAUGUGUGCAUUGCUUACUGCUACAAAGUACUGUUCCCAAGAACUGGAAAGGAAUCUUGUUUUUUCUUUUUAACACCCCCUGGAACAGCUGAAUCAAGCUCACAGCAAAGUGUUCUGCUGAUAGGGUAAAUUAUUUUCUUCACGUGGUUAGGAUUCCAUUCUUUGGAAGCUUUUGCACCAAAACUUCACCUCUAAAUGCCUCUUACUUCCCUAUGGACUGGACCAUCUCA
ensembl:lncRNA